UACGUAGGGAGCAAGCGUUGUUCGGAUUUACUGGGCGUAAAGGGCGCGUAGGCGGCGCGGUAAGUCACUUGUGAAAUCUCUGAGCUUAACUCAGAACGGCCAAGUGAUACUGCAGUGCUAGAGUGCAGAAGGGGCAAUCGGAAUUCUUGGUGUAGCGGUGAAAUGCGUAGAUAUCAAGAGGAACACCUGAGGUGAAGACGGGUUGCUGGGCUGACACUGACGCUGAGUGCGCGAAAGCCAGGGGAGCGAACGGG
rnacentral:rRNA from 1 species